rnacentral:rRNA from 1 species
CUACGGGCGGCAGCAGUGGGGAAUAUUGGACAAUGGGGGAAACCCUGAUCCAGCAAUGCCGCGUGUGCGAUGAAGGCCUGCGGGUUGUAAAGCACUUUCGGUAGGGAGGAAAGGCUUAAAUCUAAUACAUUUGAGAGAUGACGUUACCUACAAAAGAAGCACCGGCAAACUCUGUGCCAGCAGCCGCGGUAAUACAGAGGGUGCAAGCGUUAGUCGGAGUUACUGGGCGUAAAGGGCGCGUAGGCGGAUGCCUUAGUCGGUUGUGAAAUACCUGGGCUUAACCUGGGAACUGCAGUCGAUACUGGGUGUCUGGAGUAUGGUAGAGGAAAGUGGAAUUCUCGGUGUAGUGGUUACAUACGUAGAUAUCGAGAGGAACAUCGGUGGCGAAGGCGGCUUUCUGGGCCAAUACUGACGCUGAGGCGCGAAAGCGUGGGGAGCAAACAGGAUUAGAUACCCGCGUAGUC